rnacentral:tRNA from 1 species
GCCUUCGUGGUGUAGUGGUUAGCACGCUGAACGCGUAUUCCAGAGGUCCGUGGUUCGAGUCUCUGCGAAGGCG